CAAUUUUCUUCCUCUUCACUCUUUCAGUGUUAAAUUUUUUAUUUUUCUGUCGAUCCUCUAUCUAUUUUGUUUAUUGAUGUUCUUCUGCUGCUAUAUGUAAUAAGUUAAGAAAAGGUAGGUUAUAGGGUUCUUCUUCUUUUUUAUUUUUCUCUGUUUUCCUCUAUUAUGAGUUUGUUUAAUGUUACUUCUUUGCACUCAUGAAGUGUUGCACAUAUAAAUUUUACUUUAGUUUAUACUUUUAUUUCGAAAUUUGAAAUUUUUACCUGAGGUUUGAAAUUGGGGAUUUUUAGAGCGGAAUCCAUCUCUUACUUACAGACCCAUCAAACAAUUGAAAAGUCUCCACAUGCACAUAGAGAUUUUUUGGGAGUUCAAGUCAAACAAAAAGGCAACGAUGAUAAAGAAACAGAUGCGUGUGAUCUAUGAAUAGCUCGUAUUGACAAGUCAAAAGUCACUGCAAUUUAAGUGUCUCCAAACACUAAACAAAGCUGAAUUUACCUAAGUUGAGGUUCCAUUGCUAUUUUAUCAGGUAUGGAGUUGCUUCCUAUCUUAUUCCCUCCUAUGGUUAGUUUCGACCGAACUUGAAUAAUAGGAAUUAUUAAUACUUAAUAAGGAACAGAUUAACUGAGUCACAUAUGACAUGUUAUCAUAUUAGGUUGCUUCUUUUCAUGUUUCUGCUUCAUCGUGAUUUGCAUCUCUAUUUGUAGUGAGGGAGACCUCUCAUAGGGUUGAAGUGUGGGUGAAUACCUGUAAUUUUCUCUUGCAUAAACAGGAGAACACUGAGAAAUGUAAGUGAAAGAUCUAGAGUAUUUAAUCAAGGGAUAACAAAGUUUUCCUGCAUCAUAUUAAGUAAUUUCUUCUAUUCUUUCUUUAUUUUCUAGAUCAACAGCUCCAGUCUUAUUAGAAUGUGAUUAAAUUCAGUAGAGUCCCUUUUAUCUUCAAGAAAGGCAUACAUGUGGCAAUGUGCAUUUAUGUUGAGAACUCUAUAUCUGUUUUUUAUCUGUGGUUUUUGGUAGCAUUUAUUAUUUUGGCAGACUUUACUUAAUCAUUUUCUGCACAAGAAUUGGUUGAAUUUUGCUCAUGGCAUGAUGAGGUGUGAGGUUGAUGAUGAAUUUGAGUGUGCGUUAUAAAUGUUGUAAAGUUUUACUAUUUGUUUUACUUUUUUAUUUUCAGACGACAUGGCUGAUAUAGGCUGUAUAUACCUUUCUGAUUCAUAUUCAGUAAAAGUUAGAAUUGCUACCAUUUCAAGCAGUUUAUACAUAUAUCUAGAUCAUUACUAAUCAAGCAUUCACAACCAUAAAGAUGUAACUCUUAAACUCAUUUAGGUAGUCUCUGUAGAAAUAUUGUCAGCGUUGAUUUAAUUGUAUGUUACGAAGAGAAAAGCCUCAUGUAACAGGUUUUAAUGUCCUCCCAAUUCAAAUGCUACCCGACACUGUCAUGUCAGCUUGAUGCGCUACAACAGAUACUCUGUCUCUUUUUCCUUCUGCAGCACCAUUGUCUGUAUAGAUAAAUGAAUUGGUCCAUUUUGAUAAGCCUCUUAGUUUUGUAAAUGUCUAUGAUCAUCAACUUCUAUUCGCAAGGAGGGUGUGCAGAUCUGUCCAUCCGUCCUUCAAAAUCAUUCAAGGUACAGUUUAUAUCUCUUACAAUUCAAAGAGUUAAGUUGGUUAAAUUUUUUGCGUCUUCGCUUUGCUGCAAAUCCUAUGAGUCAAGCUUAUUUUAAUGGUCUACUUACUUGCAUUAGUUGCUGGCAACACCAAACAAAGAUGACAUAUAUCUUAAAAAUCAAUGAAGAUAUUAUUUGAGAAAUAACUAAAUAUCUUUUGACAGUAAUGUAAAUCUGCCUGUUAUCACAUGGUACAUGUCUUUAGGUUAUCAAAAAAUGACAUGGUAAAGGUCUUUAGCCCAGUUUCUAUGAAGUAAAUAAAGCUCACACGUUGGUGUUGUUAGCAAAAGACCAAGCUUGGAGUCCUAGACACACACACACAAAUUAAAUCACCAAGUUAUGAAUUUGCUGCUAAUUGCUCUUUUUUAUUUUUUAAUUUGUGAGGGAAAAAAGUGUUGUGUGUGUGAGGGGGGGAGGCGGUCAAGGGAUUUAAGCUUUGUAUUCCAAAAUAAGUUCUUACAAGAUAUAAAUUGCACAAAACAUCAGUAUUUUAUGUCAUUUUGAUUAAAAAAUAAACUUAUGAGUUAUUGGCAUCCGGAAAAUUGGUGCAAAGCUAUGUUCUCUUGAUGAGUUAUAAUAGAAAUUAGAUGAGCCAUGACAUUUCAAUUUGUGUGUCCAAACUAAUUUUGGAUCAAUUACUUGCAAAUUGCACUUCUAAUUUUCUAUGUGUUUUAGCGAAAAGAACAAUAUCAUAUUUGUUAAAAUGCUUUACCGGUGGUUUUUGGCUCAGAACAGCCUUGCCUUUCAGAAAGACGGGCAAGGGUCUCUCUUACUUUGUUAAUGAGAUAGCAAAUAAUAAGUUUAGGAUCACUGAAAUAUGUUUCAGUGUUUUUUUUAGGAAUAUAUUUCAAUGUUUUUGGUUGAAGAUAUUUCAUGUUAAUUGCAUUCUAAUCGAUCUAUGAAGUUAUAUUAACUCUUGCAUUGCGUUUGUUUCAACAUAUGCAAAGAAAUUGAAGUGUCUUGGACCUGUUGAUACUCCCUGUAGCAGUGGCAGAGCCAGGAUAUUCACUAAGGGGUUUCAAAAUAUAAAAAGGUAAACACACGAAGAAGACAAAUGGGGUUCAAUGUCUACUGUAUAUACAUAAAAAAUAAUUUUAACCAUGUAUACACAGUGUAUUUUUCCGCCGAAAGGGGUUCGGAUUAACCCCCUUGGCCCUUCCUCUCUCUGCCCCGGCCCUGUAGGAGCAUUGUGCCGUACUGCCAUUGAACAUUGAAAAGUUUCUCUAUCGACCUACAAAUCUCUUGGAAGAUGAUUGCAAUUCCAUGUACCCUAUGGAGAGAGCUGCCACACUUUUAACUUCCCUUCCCCCCACCCUUUCCCCCCUAUAAGUUGUAGAUUGACGUUAUACUUUUAGCUCAAUGUAAUACUUAGGCAUUUCCUACUAGUGGACACUUUAUGUCGUGUUUCAUUAGAAGUUGUAUAAGAAUGACUUGUGUAAACAAGCUUUGGAAUUGUUUUGCUAUUGGUACUUCAACCAUGACGUGUUGGGCCAAUUGGUUCCUACCAAUGGUUGCUUCCUCUUGAUCUUAUAAAUUCAUCAGAGAUCCUCCUG